GAUGAAGAACGCAGCGAAAUGCGAUAAGUAAUGUGAAUUGCAGAAUUCAGUGAAUCAUCGAAUCUUUGAACGCACCUUGCGCCCUUUGGACAUUCCGAAGGGCAUGCCUGUUUGAGUAUCAUGAACACCUCAACUCUCACGGCUUGUCCGUGAUGAGCUUGGACUUUGGGGGUCUUGCCGGGCUGUGGUCGGCUCCUCUCAAAUGGAUCAGCUUGCCAGUGUUUGGUGGCAUCACAGGUGUGAUAACUAUCUGCGCUUGUGGUUUUCCAUCAGAUAACCUUCAGUGAUAUGGAGGUUCGCUGGAGCUCACAAAUGUCUCUCCUUAGUGAGGACAGCUCUUUGAACGUUUGAUCUCAAAUCAGGUAGGACUACCCGCUGAACUUAAGCAUAUCAAUAAGCGGAGGA
rnacentral:misc_RNA from 1 species